rnacentral:tRNA from 1 species
AGUUAUAAACAGUAGCCUUGAAAGUUACAAAAAGAUUCGUCUAAUAACUU